rnacentral:rRNA from 1 species
CCCUUAGAUGUUCUGGGCCGCACGCGCGCUACACUGCUUGAUUCAGCGAGUCUUAACCUUGACCGAAAGGUUUGGGUAAUCUUCUAAAGUCAAACGUGAUGGGGAUCGAUCAUUGCAAUUAUUGAUCGUGAACGAGGAAUUCCUAGUAAAUGCAAGUCAUCAGCUUGCGUUGAUUACGUCCCUGCCCUUUGUACACACCGCCCGUCGCUACUACCGAUUGAAUGGUUUAGUGAGAUCUCCGGAUUGGCUCUGUAGGUCCCGCAAGGGAUUUAUUAGUAGCCAAGAAGCUGCUCAAACUUGAUCAUUUAGAGGAAGUAAAAGUCGUAACA